rnacentral:rRNA from 1 species
UACGGGGGGGGCAAGCGUUGUUCGGAAUUACUGGGCGUAAAGGGCUCGUAGGCGGCCAACUAAGUCAGACGUGAAAUCCCUCGGCUUAACCGGGGAACUACGUCUGAUACUGGAUGGCUAGAGGUUGGGAGAGGGAUGCGGAAUUCCAGGUGUAGCGGUGAAAUGCGUAGAUAUCUGGAGGAACACCGGUGGCGAAGGCGGGUCUCUGGGCAGUAACUGACGCUGAGGAGCGAAAGCGUGGGGAGCGAACAGG